CGAUGAUGGGAGCUAGCUUGCUAGAAGAAGUCAUGGCGGACGGGUGAGUAACGUGUAAAGAACUUACCAUAUAGACUGGGAUAACAGAGGGAAACUUCUGGUAAUACUGGAUAAGUUAGAAGUAGCAUUACUAAGUAAUGAAAGGUAGCAAUACGCUAUACGAGAGCUUUGCAUCCUAUUAGCUAGUUGGUGGGGUAAAAGCCCACCAAGGCGAUGAUAGGUAGCCGGCCUGAGAGGGUGGACGGCCACAAGGGGACUGAGAUACGGCCCUUACUCCUACGGGAGGCAGCAGUGGGGAAUAUUGGACAAUGGAGGCAACUCUGAUCCAGCAAUUCUGUGUGUGUGAAGAAGGUUUUAGGACUGUAAAACACUUUUAGUAGGGAAGAAAGAAAUGACGGUACCUACAGAAGAAGCGACGGCUAAAUACGUGCCAGCAGCCGCGGUAAUACGUAUGUCGCGAGCGUUAUCCGGAAUUAUUGGGCUUAAAGGGCAUCUAGGCGGUUAAACAAGUUGAAGGUGAAAACCUGUGGCUCAACCAUAGGCUUGCCUACAAAACUGUAUAACUAGAGUACUGGAAAGGUGGGUGGAACUACACGAGUAGAGGUGAAAUUCGUAGAUAUGUGUAGGAAUGCCGAUGAUGAAGAUAACUCACUGGACAGCAACUGACGCUGAAGUGCGAAAGCUAGGGGAGCAAACAGGAUUAGAUACCCUGGUAGUCCUAGCUGUAAACGAUGAUCACUGGGUGUGGGGAUUCGAAGUCUCUGUGCCGAAGCAAAAGCGAUAAGUGAUCCGCCUG
rnacentral:rRNA from 1 species